UGGGGGAUAUUGCACAAUGGGCGAAAGCCUGAUGCAGCGACGCCGCGUGGGGGAUGAAGGCUUUCGGGUUGUAAACCUCUUUCGCUAUCGAACAAGGCCCGCUUAGGGUGGGUUGAGGGUAGGUGGAGAAGAAGCGCCGGCUAACUACGUGCCAGCAGCCGCGGUAAUACGUAGGGCGCGAGCGUUGUCCGGAAUUAUUGGGCGUAAAGGGCUUGUAGGCGGCUUGUUGCGUCUGCUGUGAAAACGCGGGGCUUAACUUCGCGCGUGCAGUGGGUACGGGCAGGCUUGAGUGUGGUAGGGGUGACUGGAAGUCCAGGUGUAGCGGAGGAAUGCGCAGAUAUCUGGAGGAACACCGAUGGAGAAGGCAGGUCACUGGGCCAUUACUGACGCUGAGGAGCGAAAGCAUGGGUAGCGAACAGG
rnacentral:rRNA from 1 species